UACGUAGGGGGCUAGCGUUGUCCGGAAUCAUUGGGCGUAAAGAGCGUGUAGGCGGUUCGGUAAGUCCGCUGUGAAAGUCGGGGGCUCAACCCUCGAAUGCCGGUGGAUACUGUCGGGCUAGAGUGCGGAAGAGGCGAGUGGAAUUCCUGGUGUAGCGGUGAAAUGCGCAGAUAUCAGGAGGAACACCUAUUGCGAAGGCGGCUCGCUGGGACGUAACUGACGCUGAGACGCGAAAGCGUGGGGAGCAAACAGG
rnacentral:rRNA from 1 species